rnacentral:rRNA from 1 species
AAGGGUGAGUAAGGCGACGGUAACCAACCCCGAGAUUGGGUAUAGCCGCGGGAAACUGCGGGUAAUCCCCAGCGACGCGUCGGGCCGGCAUCGGUCUGACGUCAAAGCUCCGGCGUCUUGGGACGGGCUGUCGUGGUAUUAGGUAGUUGGCGGGGUAACGGCCCACCAAGCCUUCGAUGCCUACCGGGCGUGCGAGCGUGGCCCGGCACACUGGGACUGAGACACUGCCCAGACACCUACGGGUGGCUGCAGUCGAGAAUCUUCGGCAAUGGGCGCAAGCCUGACCGAGCGACGCCGCGUGGAGGAUGAAGGCCUUCGGGUUGUAAACUCCUGUCGAGGGGGAGGAAGGGGCAACCUUGACCUAUCCCUGGAGGAAGCACGGGCUAAGUUCGUGCCAGCAGCCGCGGUAAGACGAACCGUGCGAACGUUAUUCGGAAUCAUUGGGCUUAAAGCGCGUGUAGGCGGAUGGGAACGUCGGUGUUGAAAGCCCCCGGCUCAACCGGGGAAUUGGCUCCGAAACGACCCGUCUGGAGGGGCAUAGGGGGAUCUGGAACUUCCGGU